AGCGAACGUUAGCGGCGGGCCUAACACAUGCAAGUCGAACGCGAAAGGUCUUCGGACUGAUUAGAGUGGCGCACGGGUGAGUAACACGUAGGUAAUCUACCCUUUGGCGGGGGAUAACGUUCCGAAAGGAGCGCUAAUACCGCAUAAGACCACGGAGUCUCCGGACGCUGUGGGAAAAGGUGGCCUCUUCUUGAAAGCUAUCACCGGAGGAUGAGCCUGCGUCCCAUCAGCUAGUUGGUAAGGUAAUGGCUUACCAAGGCAAAGACGGGUAGCUGGUUUGAGAGAAUGAUCAGCCACACUGGCACUGGAACACGGGCCAGACUCCUACGGGAGGCAGCAGUGAGGAAUAUUGGGCAAUGGGCGAAAGCCUGACCCAGCCACGCCGCGCGAGUGAUGAAGGCCCUCGGGUCGUAAAGCUCUGUGGAGAGGGACGAAAAACCUGGGGUCUAAUAGGCCCCGGACUUGACGGUACCUCUUUAGCAAGCACCGGCUAACUCUGUGCCAGCAGCCGCGG
rnacentral:rRNA from 1 species